UUGUCACUCGUCAAGUCACUUUUCUGUUUCCUUUUUUUCAAUCGCGUUGUGCAACGGACAAGGAAAACGGAACGGAAAACGCCGUCGUGGCCACAAGUUCGGGAAGUAUCCCACCGGGAAAAUGUAAAAUUGUACGUUUCCGCCCAAAGCUGUGCCGCUAGAUGCUGAUGUUCGGUGUUCUGGACGGAUUGCGCUUCACCGCUCCACAUUAGACAAGCUCCAGCGGUUCCGAUGGAAUCUGAAAAGGAACAGUCUACAUCCUAACAUAACACUGAAUCAACAAUUUGACGCCACAAUACAAGGUUCGAGGCCAUCUCCACGCUCGCCAAGUCGAUCAGCUCCACGCAUUCCUGUGCCUACCGGAUCGGAAAUGAACACCAUAUUUGCUGCCGCGUAUGCAGUUGUGAUACGUAUACUGUGGAUUACGCAAUAGCUCCGGUGAAAUCGGAAAAGGAACAAUCUACAUCUCUUCAGGUAACGCUGAGUCAACUAUUUGACGCCACAAUACCACACGCCUUCUUGUUCCUGCCGGGUCGAAAGCGAACAUCAUCUUUGCUGCCUCGAAGUGCUGCGCAUAUCCAGUGGCGACAUGAGGUUGAUUCAGUCGCUCUAGGUCGUAACGAGGCGGCCGACGGUACCAAACAUUGUUUAACCAUCAUCAGAUAGUGGUCAGAGUCGAUGUUAGCGCCACGAUAUCUCCUGACGUCGAUAAUGUCGGAGAGGUGCCGUCCAUCAAUCAGAACGAGGUCGUUUUA